rnacentral:rRNA from 1 species
UCCAGAGGUCCCAAGCGUUGUUCGGAUUCACUGGGCGUACAGGGUGCGUAGGUGGCAGGGUAAGUUUGCUGUGAAAUCUCCGGGCUUAACCCGGAAACUGCAUUGAAUACUAUCCUGCUCGAGGUUUGGAGGGGGGACUGGAAUUCUCGGUGUAGCAGUGAAAUGCGUAGAUAUCGAGAGGAACACCAGUGGCGAAGGCGAGGCCCUGGACAACACCUGACACUGAGGCACGAAAGCUAGGGGAGCAAACAGG